GGUNCAUUACANGNAUUUUACAACUACCCAACCCUUCUGUGAACCUACCCAUAGUUGCUUCGGCGGACCCGCCCCAGCGUCCGGACGGNCCAGCGCCGGCCCGCGACCUGGGACCCAGGCGGCCGCCGGGGACCACGCAACACCUGUAUCUGUCAGCCUCUCUGAAUCCGCCGCAAGGCAACACAAACGAAUCAAAACUUUCAACAACGGAUCUUCUUGGUUCUGGCAUUCGAUGAAGAACGCAGCGAAAUGCGAUACGUUAAUGGUGAAUUGCAGAUAUUCCGUGAAUCAUUCGAAUCUUUGAACGCACAUUGCGCCCGCCAGCAUUCUGGNGGGCAUGCCUGUUNGAGCGUCAUUUCAACCCUUCGACGUCCCCCGGGGACGUCGGCUUUGGGGACCGGCAGCACCCCGNCCNGCCCUGAANGGAGUGGCGGNCCGUCCGCGGCGACCUCUGCGCAGUACAAGCACUCGCACCGGGAACCCGACGCGGCCCCGCCGUGAAACCCCCAACCUUUGAACGUUGACCUCGGUCAAGUAGGAAU
rnacentral:rRNA from 1 species